GCCUCUGGACGCUUCAUCCCUUCUCGCCGGCGACACCUGGCAGCCCGCAGGCGAUUAACGAGAAGCUGACAACAACCUCAACGAAAGAAGGUGUCAGAGGCUGCCUACCAAGACAGAUGGACGGCGUCCUUGGCGUGGCCUGAGAUGGAGGAC